GGCGCACGGGUGAGUAACACAUGGCUGACCUGCCCCCCAGAGGGGGACAACCACUGGAAACGGUGGCUAAUACCCCAUAUGCUCACGCGGAUUAGAAGGGUGUGAGGAAAGGCUGAGGUGCUGGGGGAGGGGGCUGUGGCCCAUCAGCUAGUUGGUAGGGUAACGGCCUACCAAGGCGAGGACGGGUAGGGGGCCUGAGAGGGUGACCCCCCACACUGGGACUGAGACACGGCCCAGACUCCUACGGGAGGCAGCAGUAAGGGAUAUUGCGCAAUGGGCGAAAGCCUGACGCAGCAACGCCGCGUGCGGGAUGACGGCCUUCGGGUUGUAAGCCGCUUUUCUGCGUGAAGAGGAAGGACGGUAGCGCAGGAAUAAGUCUCGGCUAACUACGUGCCAGCAGCCGCGGUAAAACGUAGGAGGCGAACGUUAUCCGGAUUUACUGGGUGUAAAGCGCGUGCAGGCGGUUCCGUAAGUCGUGCGUGAAAGCGCCCAG
rnacentral:rRNA from 1 species